CCAGCUCCGCAAUGGGAGCCGCCGCCGUCGCCGCAGUGUAGUUUUUCGUGCUCCUCCUUUUCCUCCUCCUCUUUCUCCUCCUCCUCAGGGCUCCAGUCAGGCCGAUCCGCUCCGCUCACGUCGUAGGAAAGGAGACCAAAGGGGAUUCGGGAUUUGCAGGCACAGGGCCCCUCAUUUUGCCCAGAUGACCGGUCGUUCCACGUUUGCACCCUCAUUUUUGUCAAAGAGACCUCCCCUCCUCUGCCAUAGAAUUCCCGUUAUUGUCUACAGAAGAAGGGCCCUGAGGAGAAACGUGGAGUUGGAGACAAAAUUUUCUGAGCUUUGCAAGGUUCACUUACUGAGACGGAAAGAAUGAUCUCACUCUGAGGUUUUAGCCUGCUCCAGCGAUGGAAGGAAUUCCUCCCAACUUAUCGCAAGUUUUAACGCUUUUAAGGAGAAAUCUGCUGGAGAGGAAAAACGUCAAGGUGAACCCGCUUCUGCAAGCACGGGAGACCUUUGGCCAAAGGCCUUUGUUUGCGAAGAUUUGUUAAAAAAAAAAAAA
rnacentral:lncRNA from 10 species